rnacentral:rRNA from 1 species
AGAGUUUGAUCCUGGCUCAGAAUGAACGUUGGCGGCGUGGAUUAGGCAUGCAAGUCGAACGAGCCUCUGGGGGGUAACUCCUAGAGGAAAGUGGCGAAAGGGGCGGUAAUGUAUGGGUAACCUACCUUGAGGUCUGGGAUAGCUAUUCUAACGGAUAGGUAAUACCGGACGGCCUGAGUUGUCGGCAUCGAUGAUUUAGUAAAGGUUACGCCUCGAGAGGGGCCCAUAUGAUAUUAGCUAGUUGGUGAGGUAAUGGCUCACCAAGGCAAAGAUGUCUAGCGGGUGUGAGAGCACGACCCGCGUCACUGGCACUGAGACACUGGCCAGACUCCUACGGGAGGCUGCAGUCGAGGAUCUUCGGCAAUGGACGCAAGUCUGACCGAGCAACGCCGCGUGUGCGAUGAAGGCCUUCGGGUUGUAAAGCACUGUCGAGGGGAAACAAGCCGUAAGGUUGAGUGACCCCUGGAGGAAGCACGGGCUAAGUUCGUGCCAGCAGCCGCGGUAAGACGAACCGUGCAAACGUUAUUCGGAAUCACUGGGCUUAAAGGGCGCGUAGGCGGGUAAUCAAGUCAAUGGUGAAAGCCUCCAGCUUAACUGGAGAAGUGCCUUUGAUACUGAUUGUCUAGAGUGAGGUAGGGGCAUGUGGAACUUCCGGUGGAGCGGUGAAAUGCGUAGAUAUCGGAAGGAACGCCAGUGGCGAAAGCGAUGUGCUGGACCUUUUCUGACGCUGAGGCGCGAAAGCUAGGGGAUCAAACGGGAUUAGAUACCCUGGUAGUCC